CCCAAUGCCGUGUGUGAAAGAAAGGGAGAGGGAAAGAGAGGAGCUCCCUGGUGUGCAUAUUAAUGACGUUCAUGCAAAACAGAGAGGGUUCUGAUUGGCCUGUUCUCUACAAAAAUGAGUCAGCAAAUCAGUUUUUAGUGUGGGCGGGCAGUGGACAGAAGGAAAUGGCCUAUCAUGGAUCCCAUCAAAAAACAAUGAAAAAUGAAAAAACUAUAAGAGUCUUGCCCGCUGUACAGUUUGUAAUAGUGAUUUUAGCAUUGCCCUUUGGGGACUAAAGGAUUACAAAAGGCAUGUUGAGGUAAAAAUCUGAUCUGGACAUGAACUGCGUGUUACUGCAAGGUGUAAACAGGCUCACCAUCAUGGCUGAGUGAAUUUGGUGUCAGGAGCCAUGAAUAUUUGAUACUGUCAGGGUGGGGUGGAGAUACGGAUAGGCCCCAGGCUUCACUAAUGGGAAUCCCCCUCCCCUGCCUGAGCAGACACACUGAGACACACACGUGCAGACUGUCUCACUGCCCCUCACCAGCAGACCACAGCUCCAGCAUCCGGCACACCCUGAACUCG